CAGGUCGAUGCACAUUGACUUCUUCUUCAUGGCCAUGACAGAGAGACCAACGUCAAUUCGACCUCGUAACCUCCCCUUCUUCAGCUGAGGAAUUAAUCACACGCAGUCCCAGUCUUGGCAUAUGUAAGGAUGCCUCUUUCAAGCAGGAAAUAUCUCUGUUAAACAUAGACGGACAAGGAGAAAUUUUUUUAGCACCCUCAGCAAACCUUCCAGCUUCUCAGGCUUCUGAAUAUUUCCUGUCAAUCCUUGCAAGUCCUCAACUAACUCCCAGCUGUCCUAAAGAAUAAGAAGACAAAAUAAUUGUAAAAAAAUCUGGAAGAAAUAAC